UGUUUAGCACCUUCUCACUGGACGGCUGAAGCUAUCGGUCGGUGCUGAAAUGAAAUCUACUCUACAAAUAUUCUACAUAUUCUCCAGAAGGUCUGCAACAAAAUCUGUUCUAUCCUAUUUUUUAAUGAUGUCUUGAUGUCUUCUGUUUUUCACAGAGAUAUUAAAGAUCACCAUGAGGCUGCUGAUUGUGUUUGCACUUCUUUGUGUAAUGGUCCCUCUGAUCAUUACUGCUCAAAAAUCGGGCAGCAGUGGAGCAGAGGAUAAGCCACCAGAAGAGCAUCUUGUUGACAAGAGAAGCCGGGGGCUUUGGCGCAGAGCUUUUAGUGUCUUUGGAUACGGGAAAAAGGUGGACGAAUGAUAUGUACGGUCACCACUGAUACCGAUUUUGUCUGGGUCUGAAAAAGAAGAUGAUCCCUGGUCUUCCAUGAAAAGCCAUGGCCACCAGACAAAGAAGCAAAUCAUUUCAUCCAACCCUAAACUAUCAGUUUCCCUCUUAGAUCUUUACUUAUUUCCUUUCGCUGUACUGCUACAUAAUGAAUUUGGCAACAAGUGACACAAACUGGAGUGGACUGGACCGUGUCUUCUAAUAGCAAUAGCUGUUCAUUUCUGUUCUUAUUAUCUUCAUCAUUAAACUCUUAAGCAUUAAAUCAAA